rnacentral:rRNA from 1 species
AACGAACGCUGGCGGCAUGCCUAACACAUGCAAGUCGAACGAGACCUUCGGGUCUAGUGGCGCACGGGUGCGUAACGCGUGGGAACCUGCCUUUAGGUUCGGAAUAACUCAGAGAAAUUUGAGCUAAUACCGGAUGAUGUCUUCGGACCAAAGAUUUAUCGCCUCUAGAUGGGGCCGCGUUGGAUUAGCUAGUUGGUGGGGUAAAGGCCUACCAAGGCGACGAUCCAUAGCUGGUGUGAGAGGAUGAUCAGCAACACUGGGACUGAGACACGGCGCAGACUCCUACGGAAGGCAGCAGUGGGGAAUAUUGGACAAUGGGCGAGAGACUAAUCCAGCAAGGCCGCGUGAGUGAGUAAGGCCUUAGGGUUGUAAAGCUCUUUUACCCGAGAUGAUAAUGACAGUAGCGGGAGAAAAAGCGCCGGCUAACUCCGUG